rnacentral:rRNA from 1 species
AUUGAACGCUGGCGGCAUGCCUUACACAUGCAAGUCGAACGGCAGCAUGAUCUAGCUUGCUAGAUUGAUGGCGAGUGGCGAACGGGUGAGUAAUACAUCGGAACGUGCCCUGUAGUGGGGGAUAACUAGUCGAAAGAUUAGCUAAUACCGCAUACGACCUGAUGGUGAAAGUGGGGGACCUCAAGGCCUCAUGCUUUAGUAGCGGCCGAUGUCUGAUUAGCUAGUUUGUGAGGUAAAGUCUCACCAAGGCGACGAUCAGUAGCUGGUCUGAGAGGACGAUCAGCCACACUGGGACUGAGACAGGGCCCAGACUCCUAAGAGAGGCAGCAGUGGGGAAUGUUGGACAAUGGGCGAAAGCCUGAUACAGCAAUGCCGAGUGUGUGAAGAAGGCCUUCGGGUUGUAAAGCACUUUUGUCCGGAAAGAAAUGGAUCUGGUUAAUACCUGGGGUCAAUGACGGUACCGGAAGAAUAAGGACCGGCUAACUACGUG